CCUACUCCUACAGGCAUUGCAGGUGUGGCUACUGUGGCACAUUUGCACCAGUAGGUGGAAGAGAGGAGAAAGGCUCAGUGUUCUUCCCUAUGAACAAUGAAGGAUUAAUACCCUAACAUU
rnacentral:snoRNA from 1 species